rnacentral:misc_RNA from 1 species
GAUGAAGAACGUAGCGAAAUGCGAUAAGUAAUGUGAAUUGCAGAAUUCAGUGAAUCAUCGAGUCUUUGAACGCUCAUUGCGCCCCCUGGUAUUCCGGGGGGCAUGCCUGUCCGAGCGUCAUUGCUGCCCUCAAGCACGGCUUGUGGGUUGGGCCCCCGUCCCCGGUUUCCCCCGGGGACGGGCCCGAAAGGCAGCGGCGGCACCGCGUCCGGUCCUCGAGCGUAUGGGGCUUUGUCACCCGCUCUGUAGGCCCGGCCGGCGCCAGCCGACACCCAACUUUAUUUCUAAGGUUGACCUCGGAUCAGGUAGGGAUACCCGCUGAACUUAAGCAUAUCAAUAAGCGGAGGA